rnacentral:rRNA from 1 species
CUACGGGGUGCUGCAGUGGGGAAUAUUGGACAAUGGGGGAAACCCUGAUCCAGCAAUGCCGCGUGUGUGAAGAAGGCCUGCGGGUUGUAAAGCACUUUCGGUUGGGAGGACUGCUUCUAGCACUAAUAUUGUUGGAAGUUGACGUUACCUUCAGAAGAAGCACCGGCUAACUCCGGGCCAGCAGCCGCGGUAAUACGGAGGGUGCAAGCGGUAAUCGGAAUUACUGGGCGUAAAGCGCGCGUAGGCGGCUAGGUCAGUCGGGUGUGAAAGCCCCGGGCUUAACCUCGGAACUGCAUCCGAUACUGUCUAGCUUGAGUACAGGAGAGGAGAGUGGAAUUCCACAUGUAGCGGUGAAAUGCGUAGAUAUGUGGAGGAACACCAAUGGCGAAGGCAGCUCUCUGGCCUGAUACUGACGCUGAGGUGCGAAAGCGUGGGGAGCAAACAGGAUUAGAUACCCUCGUAGUC